rnacentral:rRNA from 1 species
AGGAGAGUUUGAUCCUGGCUCAGGACGAACGCUGGCGGCGUGCUUAACACAUGCAAGUCGAACGGGAAGACAUUUCUAACACCGAGCUACUAAGUUGGUGUUGCUUGAUAGACAGCGUCGUGAGAGCUCGAAGAGCCUCACCACACUAUAUCAAAGUGAUUAACAUUUUAGUGACUGGGUGUUAGGAAUGGAUUCUAGUGGCAAACGGGUGAGUAACGCGUAGGCAACCUGCCCUUCAGAUGGGGACAACAUUUCGAAAGGAAUGCUAAUACCGAAUGACGUGCAUUGGUCGCAUGACCGAUGCACCAAAGGCCGGGCAACCGGUCACUGAAGGAUGGGCCUGCGUCUGAUUAGCUAGUUGGUGGGGUAACGGCCCACCAAGGCGACGAUCAGUAGCCGGUCUGAGAGGAUGAACGGCCACAUUGGGACUGAGACACGGCCCAAACUCCUACGGGAGGCAGCAGUGGGGAAUCUUCCGCAAUGGGCGAAAGCCUGACGGAGCAACGCCGCGUGAGUGAAGAAGGUUUUCGGAUCGUAAAGCUCUGUUGUCAGGGACGAGAGACUUAUUCAGGAAAUGGGAUAAGGAGGACGGUACCUGGCGAGAAAGCCACGGCUAACUACGUGCCAGCAGCCGCGGUAAUACGUAGGUGGCGAGCGUUGUCCGGAAUUAUUGGGCGUAAAGGGAGCGCAGGUGGGAUUGUAAGUCAGUCUUAAAAGUUCGGGGCUCAACCCCGUGAUGGGAUUGAAACUACAAUUCUUGAGUGCAGGAGAGGAAAGCGGAAUUCCUAGUGUAGCGGUGAAAUGCGUAGAUAUUAGGAGGAACACCAGUGGCGAAGGCGGCUUUCUGGACUGUAACUGACACUGAGGCUCGAAAGCGUGGGGAGCGAACAGGAUUAGAUACCCUGGUAGUCCCCU